CUUGGAAUUGAGAAACGCCCAUUUGUCUUUCUAUCGGGUGAUUUCAUGGUUCACCUCGAUAUCUUCGUGCUGUGCUUCACGUUUACUCUCUGGACGGACUUUGUGCCUUUUAGCACGGCAGCACAGACGGGCGUUAAAGGGAGGAAGAUGGUCUGAGAUUCCUGGCUGACUCAUCAUCUGACCUCCUGUGUCUCUGGGACAUUUGUAGUGAAUGUGGACCAGACUCUAUCCAGGC